rnacentral:rRNA from 1 species
UACGGAGGGUGCGAGCGUUAAUCGGAAUUACUGGGCGUAAAGCGCGCGUAGGCGGUUUGUUAAGUCAGCUGUGAAAGCCCCGGGCUCAACCUGGGAACUGCAGUUGAUACUGACCGACUAGAGUACGAGAGAGGGAGGUAGAAUUCCAUGUGUAGCGGUGAAAUGCGUAGAUAUAUGGAGGAAUACCGGUGGCGAAGGCGGCCUCCUGGCUCGAUACUGACGCUGAGGUGCGAAAGCGUGGGGAGCAAACAGG